rnacentral:rRNA from 1 species
GACGAACGCUGGCGGCGUGCCUAAUACAUGCCAGUAGAACGCUGAAGGAGGAGCUUGCUUCUCUGGAUGAGUUGCGAACGGGUGAGUAACGCGUAGGUAACCUGCCUGGUAGCGGGGGAUAACUAUUGGAAACGAUAGCUAAUACCGCAUAAUAGUAGAUGUUGCAUGACAUUUGCUUAAAAGGUGCAAUUGCAUCACUACCAGAUGGACCUGCGUUGUAUUAGCUAGUUGGUGGGGUAACGGCUCACCAAGGCGACGAUACAUAGCCGACCUGAGAGGGUGAUCGGCCACACUGGGACUGAGACACGGCCCAGACUCCUACGGGAGGCAGCAGUAGGGAAUCUUCGGCAAUGGACGGAAGUCUGACCGAGCAACGCCGCGUGAGUGAAGAAGGUUUUCGGAUCGUAAAGCUCUGUUGUAAGAGAAGAACGAGUGUGAGAGUGGAAAGUUCACACUGUGACGGUAGCUUACCAGAAAGGGACGGCUAACUACGUG